rnacentral:rRNA from 1 species
UACAGAGGGGGCGAGCGUUGUCCGGAAUCAUUGGGCGUAAAGGGCGCGUAGGCGGCGUGACAAGUCACUUGUGAAAUCUCCGGGCUUAACUCGGAACGGCCAAGUGAUACUGUCGUGCUAGAGUGCAGAAGGGGCAAUCGGAAUUCUUGGUGUAGCGGUGAAAUGCGUAGAUAUCAAGAGGAACACCUGAGGUGAAGACGGGUUGCUGGGCUGACACUGACGCUGACAGCGCGAAAGCUAGGGGAGCAAACGGG